UGGGAAUGUGGGAGGGCUGAUGUCAGUGAAUACUGAGAGUGCACAUCUUAAAUUAUACCUGGAUCUGUCUGCGCAGCAUACCAAUAUGUGAUAUUUUUAUAACUCCGGAUUCCCAGGACUCCGGAACGAGCCGUGUGGCAGGAUUGAUCCAUGCAAUUCAGUCCAUCCAUCCACACUGUUCCUGCAUCUCUGGCUUCAGCCAUCACCACACUAGAUGAUCUGGAUUGAGUUCUGAUGAGAUAAGCUGCUAAAGCUGAUUUUAGAUCAGCAUCAUCACACAAACUGAUCAGUGAGACUCCCACAGCAGAGACAACCAAACUGAAGCUUUUUCUCCUGAGAAGUCACUGGAAUGACCGAUAUGAAGACUUGGAUGGUUGAAAGUCACACAUUCUCUUCCCGUUAAUGACUUUGAGCCUCGAGGCCUCAGACAGGAGCCUGCAGACCUUCGGAUUGAUCCCCUCCCGUCUCCUUCAGAUUUUUCCUUUCGUGAAAGAAAGUUCAGUGGGUUUGGAUCUACAUGAAUAAUUUGGAGUGAAAUAUGACCCAGACACAUUGCUGACAGGUUUUGUGAGAUUCACCCUGGAGCAAAUGUGUGGAGGAAAUAAAUCUACACAGACCUCAAGUGGUUCAGGAAAGACCUUUUCCAUCAACAUGUGGAUGGUCAUCUGCGGUGCACCAUGAACCUUCUGACUCUGAGCUUCUCCUUGUCACGGUGAGAUUAAACAUGUUUGUAAGUCCAGCGGCUGUAUGUGCGCUGAGGGUUAUGACAUCAUAUACUGUAUGCCCUCUGCUGCAACGAGCAGCAUUAAUAACUGAGCCAGUGCUGGGAUCUAGCGUCUGAUUCUGCCCUGCUCUGCAGAUCCUUUACGCUGGAGUCUGGUGUCACUGAUAAUAGGCCCCUCUGGGAGCCCUGUACAGUAGCAGGGCCUGCAAACUGUCUGUAUAUGAAAGGAGCUCCCACUCACGGCCUACUUCUGAAAAGCUGUCGGCGAUGGGAGGGAGAGGAGCAGCGGAUAAGGAGGAGGAGGACAGAAUUAGAAUGGGGAAGUUCAAACUCAUUGACGCAAGACAAAAGUGGAGUAAUUGAGUUCAAGAGUCAUCAGGUGUUUGCAGAGAGAUGAUUCACCUUGUUGGUUCAGGUGGGUGUUUGAACAGGGCAUAGGGCUCUAGAGGACACGCUGGAUAUUCUCGGGUUCAUUAACACUGUAGCAGGUAUCGAGCUGAACAAACCCAAGGAAACUAAUGAAAGGGAAAUCUCUCUAGGCUACAUGCAGUAGGCUAGAGGUCAUGUGGAUGCAUGUAGACCUUGUGGAAAACUGUGCAUAGAAGAUCCUGGACUGGAAAUACUGUGUAAACUACAUUUGGCCUUUAAGGAUAGGUCACUCAGAAAUGAAAAUUCUGUUACUCACAUGUACGUUGCUCCAUAUGACUUACUGUCUUCCGUGCAACACACAAGGUUGUUUUUGAAUAAUAUACUUCUUGUUUGUUUUAAUAUAAUAAAAAGUAAAUAAGGACUGGGGCUGUCGAGCUCCAAAGUCUUCAUACCAUCAGCUAAAUCUUUAAAAGACUUGAAAUGUAGUAUAUUUUGGAUAUGACUUAUAGCAUUUAUUAUCACAAUAAUAUUUUGUUUUUAUAAUCAUAUUUUGUUAAAUAAUAUUACAGCUUGGUUUGAUUGGUAACACUUUAUUUUAGUGGUCAAUUCUCACUAUUAACUAUCUGGUUAUUAGCAUUCACAUUACUGGCAUAUUGGCUGUUUAUUAGUACUAAUAAUGCACACAUUAAUACUUUAUUCUGCAUGACCAUAUUUUAAAUCGCUUAAUCCUACCUCAUACAUAAACUUAACAACUACCUUACUAACAAAUAACACGCAGCAAAUUAGGAGUUUAUUGAGGCAAAAGUCUAAUAAACUAAUAUGUACUAAUUUUAUGUACUAAUAAACAGGCAAUAUGCUAGUAAUAUAAAUGCAACUAGAUAUCUAUACUGGGGUUACUGUUUUUGUUUAUAUUUAUCGAUACUACUAGUAUUUUUAUUUUUCCAUAUAUUGUUAAUUCCUAUUUCUAUUAGCAUUUUAGCUGUAGCAGUAAUAGAGCUGUUAUUGUUAUAAUAAAUUAUUUAGAGCUUUGUACAAGUUUGGGUGGCUUUUACAGGUGUAGAGUCAUAGUUACUCAUGAAAAAAAGCUAAAAAUGCACUAUAAAGUAAGUAAGAAGUCUGAUUGUAUUUAGAUAUUUAAAUUUAUAAAGCAAUUUCCUGAUAUAAAUAGUAACAGUCAGCUAUCCCUGUAAAAAAAAGGAGAUUUAUGUUUUAUAAAUACAAAUUUUAUUUAUUUGUUUGUUCUUCCACCGUGUGAUGUAGAUGAAAGAUCCCCAAUAUGGAACUGAGAAAUAGAUAUGUAUAUAUAAAUAGAUUAUCAGGUUAUGUCUUUACAGCACAUUCUUACAAGAUACUAAUUCACACUGUCAGUUGCCUAACCUCUUUAAGCUGCAUGUUAAAAUUGUUCUCCACUGAGUUUACUUCUCUCUAGAUUUUGCCAGAAUUGAAACAUCACUCUUAAAAUCUCUCUGUAGUGUGUACUCACCCUGUAUUUAAGAGUACAGUUGGGAGACUUACACAGUGAAUAGUGAUUGUCCUGUAAUGCUAGGUUUGUCAGGAAAUCAGCAGGGAGCCUGGCCACAGCGGUCGCACUCCUCCCUGGCACUACUGCCAAGACCGGCUGUUUCCUUUUGUUUGAAAGAAAGAAGCAAAUUGAUUUUUUUUUCUAUUCUACACAAACCUAGCAAUGAAAGAGAUGUGAGAAUGAAAAUAAGUGCUUCUUUUACACCUAAUAAUGUUCAGAAAGAAAGAUGCAUUCAUGCACAGUACAUCAUGGGGGCUUUCAGUUGGCGAGGAAAUCUAUGCUCACAGUGAACGUCGCCCAAUUUCUAACAAACACUGAAUAAUUCAUGCUAGAACUCGCUCUGUCUUCACAGCAGAACAGACACCAUGGUCCAAAUUUCCCUUUGAAGCUAGCGAGCGUCCACUUCCCCACAGUGACCUCCAUGCAUUGGUGUUUUUUUUUUUUGUUUUUUUUUUCUUCUCAGAAACCGGUUGUCUGACUGUAUAACCCAAAUAAAAGAAGAGCUAAGACUUUCCGCAGUCUUUCGCAGUGGAGACGGAGUGGUCAUUAACAGUCAAUGAGAGAAAACCCUGGAGCUUUGUAAAGGAACAGCUUGAUGAUUCAAUCUGUCCAAGCUCUGACUACAAACUCAUCCAAUUAGCCAGACAGGAGACAGCUUUGACCCCAAAGUUGCCUGACUUUCCAGGGUGAAAACAUCUCUUUGGCAGACAUUUCACCCAGGCAAGCCUACCAUUGAAGCGUUCAGGUCUGGCUGGCCUUGGAGCAAAAGUGAAGAGGGCCAAUUACAAAACCUUUUGGUUCUCCACAAAUUCGCCUUUGAGUUUAGCAGCAGAACGGGUGCUGAGGUCUUGAGAGCCUCGACUCAAAGCUGUGGCACUUUAAUCUAAAAGUUUAGUAUUCACAAUAGGAAGUGGUUUACCCUUAUUAUUAUUAUCAUUUACUCACUCUCAUAUCAUUCUAACCUUGUACUUCUGUAAAACAGAAAACAACAUCCUAGGCUUCUAUUUUUCACAAAACGAAUGUGGAUUUUGGAUACUGUAAAUCUGUUGUGCUAAACAUUAAAUA